rnacentral:rRNA from 1 species
UGGGGAAUUUUGCACAAUGGGCGCAAGCCUGAUGCAGCGACGCCGCGUGAGGGAUGAAGGCCUUCGGGUUGUAAACCUUUUUCGCUCAUGGUCAAGCCGCAGCUUUGGGUUGUGGUGAGGGUAGUGGGUAAAGAAGCGCCGGCUAACUACGUGCCAGCAGCCGCGGUAAUACGUAGGGCGCGAGCGUUGUCCGGAAUUAUUGGGCGUAAAGGGCUUGUAGGCGGUUGGCCGCGUCUGCCGUGAAAUCCUCUGGCUUAACUGGGGGCGUGCGGUGGGUACGGGUUGACUUGAGUGCGGUAGGGGAGACUGGAAUUCCUGGUGUAGCGGGGGAAUGCGCAGAUAUCAGGAGGAACACCGGCGGCGAAGGCGGGUCUCUGGGCCGUUACUGACGCUGAGGAGCGAAAGCGUGGGGAGCGAACAGG